AGAGUUUGAUCCUGGCUCAGGACGAACGCUGGCGGCGUGCCUAACACAUGCAAGUCGAACGGAGAUGUUUAUUUCGGUAGACAUCUUAGUGGCGCACGGGUGAGUAACGCGUGAAUAACCUGACCCGAAGAGGGGGAUAACACCUGGAAACAAGUGCUAAUACCGCAUAAGACCACGGACCGGCAUCGGUCAGAGGUCAAAGGAGGAAUCCGCUUUGGGAGGGGUUCGCGUCCCAUUAGGUAGUUGGUGAGGUAACGGCCCACCAAGCCGACGAUGGGUAGCCGAGCUGAGAGGCUGAUCGGCCACACUGGAACUGAGACACGGUCCAGACUCCUACGGGAGGCAGCAGUGGGGAAUAUUGGGCAAUGGGCGCAAGCCUGACCCAGCAACGCCGCGUGAGGGAAGAAGGUUUUCGGAUUGUAAACCUCUGUCGCAGGGGACGAAGGAAGUGACGGUACCCUGUAAGAAAGCCCCGGCUAACUACGUGCCAGCAGCCGCGGU
rnacentral:rRNA from 1 species